AGUUUUGCUCUUGUUGCCUAGGCUAGAGUGCAAUGGCAUGAUCUCGGCUCACUGCAAUCUCUGCCUCUGGGGCUCAAACGAUUCUCCUGCCUCAGUCUCCAGAGUAGCUGGGAUUACAGGCACCUGCCACCACAUCUGGCUAAUUUUUGUAUUUUUUUUUUUUUUAGUAGAGACAGGGUUUCACCAUGUUGGCCAGGCUGGUCUCGAACUCCUGACCUUGUGAUCCACCCGCCUCGGCCUCCCAAAGUGCUGGGAUUACAGGCGUGAGCCACUGCGCCUGGACCGUAAUUCUCCCUUUUCUUCAGCCUAAAUGUCUUCUUCUCUUCAAAAUGUUAUCAAGUAAAGCAAUAGAAUCAAGUAAAUUAUACUGGCAUCUUUCUACUAAGCAAGCAUUUUACACACAAGAUUAAAUAAAGGUUUAAAGAAAGGAAAGUAUAAUAUAAGAAACAAAGUUUCCUAGAAGUUAUAGUAGACUGGGUGUGGUGGCUGACGCCUGUAAUCCCAGCACUUUGGGAGGCUGAGAUAGGAGGAUUACUUGAGCCCAGUUCAAGACCAGCCUGGGCAACACAGUGAGAGCUCAUCUCUAUUUUUUAAUUUUUAAAAAAAUGUUAUAACAAUAUCAAGUAUACCUCAUAAAGCUGGUUAUGAAGUCAGCUAACAAUAGCAAAACCUCAUGUAACUCACACAAUUGCAGAACUGCUCAUUUUACCAAUCUGUGUGGAAAUUUUCAUCAUUUUCCAAAGGAAAGAGAAAAAGUGCCACUUUUGAAUAAUAUUAUCACUGGAUACAGAACAUGCAAAGACACGAAAAUAAUUCUAAUCCAGAAUGGUUACAUUGUAAAUAGAUCAUCUCAGGUUAAUUGAUACUUGUUAGUAACUGUGAAACCCUGAAGAGAAAUGCUUAAAACAUUAUUUAUUCUGUAAAGCUGCAAAACAAACUAGUAAGCAAAAUAGUAAAUGAACACUUAAAUAAGUUAAAUAUAAUGGAAACACUGCAUAAGUUAUGUGAUAGCACAGAUGCAAGGAAAAAAUGCUGAGAUUCAGUUAAUGCGUGAGCUUAUUCAUGAAGAACUUAUCGAAAGUUCUUGUGUAGGGCUGAAUUCCACAUUAAAUGGUUCUAUCAGAAGGUGAGUCUAAUAAAGCCUGAGAAGGUCAGGCAUGGUGGCUUAUGCCUGUAGUCCCAAUACUUUGGGAGGCCAAGGUGGGAGGAUCGCUUGAGCCCAGGAGUUCGAGAUCAGCCUGGGAACUCAGGGAGAACGCCCCUCUUCCCCCACUUCUCUAAAAAAAGUUUAAAAAUUAGCCAGGCAUGGCAGUGCAUUCCUGUAGUCUCAGCUAUUUGGGAGGCUGUGGUGAGAGGAUCCCUUAAGACCAGGAGUUCAAGGUUGAAGUGAGCCAUGAUCAUGCCAGUGCUCGCCAGCCUGGUCAACAGAGCCAGACCUUGACUCAAAAAAAAAAAGGCAGCCCUAGAUGUUACAGACCUUUCUGUUUUUAGCAAUAUGUGACAAAAUAGAUGAUUUCUGCUUAAUACCAAAGUACAUGGUCUACUGGUAAACUUGUGUCAAGAGUUAAAAUAAGAAUUAAAAAAAAAUUAAUGGUUGUCCUUUGCAAAUUAUUGGAGAAUAUUUAUUGGCUUGCUUUGCUCAUAUUCCUCAGCAUCUGAAUGAACUUAAUCAAAAAUUUUCAGGGACCAUUGUGAAUAAGUACAUUAUCAGGUAAAAUUUACCAGUAAAAUGUAUUGAUUAUAACUUAGAAAGGUGAAAUUAAACACAGUUCACCAAUGAUGUUUCGUAGGUAUUAUAACAUGAAUUCUAAAGAAGACGCUGGCUGAGCGCAGUGGCUCACAAGAGAUAUAUUUACUUUCUAUGUGUGACACUGAUUGAAGUCUGAGAAGCCCUGUCCAUAACUAAAGUGUCUAAUAUGGAAUUAUCCAGAACAUGUGUAGUAUAUUUGAAUGAGGUUCAAGAGAUACCUUUAUCCAAAUAUGGUGACAAAUUUCAAAAGAACCGGAAAAACUAUGAUGGAUUUACAUGAGGUCCAUCUUUACAAAAUUGUAUUGAAAAAUAAAGAAUUUGGCCGGGUGCAGCGGCUCAUGCCUGUAAUUCCAGCACUUUGGAAGGCCAAGGCGGGCGGAUCACCUGAGGUCGGCGUUCAAGACCAGCCUGACCAACAUGGAGAAAUCCCAACUCUACCAAAAAUACAAAAUUAGCCAGGCGUGGUGGCGCAUGCCUAUAAUCCCAGCUACUCGGGAGGCUGAGGCAGGAGAAUCGUUUGAACCCAGGAGACGGAGGCUGCAGUGACCUGAGAUCACACCAUUGCACUCUGGCCUGGGUGACAAGAAGCGAGGAAAGAAAAGAAAGAAAAGAAAAGAAAAGAGAAAAAGAAAGAAAGAAAGGAGGGAGGGAGGAAGGGAAGGAAGGAAGGGAGGGAAGGAGAGAGAGAGAAGAAGGAAGGAAGAAAGGAAGGAAAAGAAAGAAAGAAAGAAAAGAAAGAAAGAAAGAAAAAAAGAAAGAAAAAAUUCUAACACAUUAAAAAGUUAAACCACAAAACUGAAGGUUAGCUAAAGUAAACACAGUGGUCAAUCAUACAUGAUAAACUUCAAGCUGAUGCCAUAAUUGUAAUUACAUGGUAACCUGAAGAAAUAUUGGAUAGUAAAAGCCUAAUGAUUAUUUUAUAUGCUAAUCUGAGUUAUUUCCUUUGAACAAUGGUUAUAUUGAGGAAUUGGUGAAUUUUUCCCUUUGUUCUCCUGCUUGCUUUGCUGUUUUCCCUAAAUAUGUCUGCUGAGAUGAACUAAAGAGAACAUUUUUCCAUCGAGUUCUCUAAAAAUCUACCAGAUGGGAUCUCCUAAAGAAUCCAACAGGAAACACACUCUUCUAGGAAAUCACUGGAGGUCCCAAACCACUCUAAUAUGAAUGAUACCAGACCUCAAAGCUAACAUUGAAAAUGCACAGGUAAAACAUCAAAUAGCAGGCAGCAAGACAGAAUACUACAAGCUUUUACUUUUUCUUUUUUUUUUUUUUUUUCUUGAGACGCAGUCUUGCUC
rnacentral:lncRNA from 1 species